rnacentral:rRNA from 1 species
UACGGAGGGUGCGAGCGUUGUCCGGAAUCACUGGGCGUAAAGGGCGCGUAGGCGGCCUGGCAAGUCGAUGGUGAAUGCCCCGGGCUCAACCUGGGAACGGCGCGCGAAACGGGGGGGCUGGAGUUCGGGAGAGGAGCGUGGAAUUCCCAGUGUAGAGGUGAAAUUCGUAGAUAUUCGCAAGAACACCAGUGGCGAAGGCGGCUCACUGGCCCGGUACUGACGCUGAGGUGCGAAAGCGUGGGGAGCAAACAGG